rnacentral:rRNA from 1 species
UGGGGAAUAUUGCACAAUGGGCGAAAGCCUGAUGCAGCAACGCCGCGUGAGUGAUGAAGGCCUUCGGGUUGUAAAGCUCUGUCUUUUGGGACGAUAAUGACGGUACCAAAGGAGGAAGCCACGGCUAACUACGUGCCAGCAGCCGCGGUAAUACGUAGGUGGCAAGCGUUGUCCGGAUUUACUGGGCGUAAAGGAUGCGUAGGCGGAUUUUUAAGUGAGAUGUGAAAUACCCGGGCUUAACUUGGGUGCUGCAUUUCAAACUGGGAAUCUAGAGUGCGGGGAGAGGAGAAAUGGAAUUCCUAGUGUAGCGGUGAAAAUGCGUAGAGAUUAGGAAGAACACCAGUGGCGAAGGCGAUUCUCUGGACCGUAACUGACGCUGAGGCAUGAAAGCGUGGGUAGCAAAACAGGAUUAGAUACCCUGGUAGUCCACGCCGUAAACGAUGAGUACUAGGUGUAGGAGGUAUCGACCCCUUCUGUGCCGCAGUUAACACAAUAAGUACUCCGCCUGGGAAGUACGAUCGCAAGAUU